rnacentral:rRNA from 1 species
GAUGAACGCUAGCGGCAGGCUUAAUGCAUGCAAGUCGAGGGGCAGCAUGAGUGUAGCAAUACAUUUGAUGGCGACCGGCAAACGGGUGCGGAACACGUACACAACCUUCCUAUAAGUGGGGAAUAGCCCAGAGAAAUUUGGAUUAAUACCCCGUAACAUAAUGAUGUGGCAUCACAUUAUUCUUAUAGCUUCGGCGCUUAUUGAUGGGUGUGCGGCUGAUUAGAUAGUUGGCGGGGUAACGGCCCACCAAGUCUACGAUCAGUAGCUGAUGUGAGAGCAUGAUCAGCCACACGGGCACUGAGACACGGGCCCGACUCCUACGGGAGGCAGCAGUAAGGAAUAUUGGUCAAUGGACGCAAGUCUGAACCAGCCAUGCCGCGUGAAGGAUUAAGGUCCUCUGGAUUGUAAACUUCUUUUAUCUGGGACGAAAAAAGGCGAUUCUUCGUCACUUGACGGUACCAGAUGAAUAAGCACCGGCUAACUCCGUGCCAGCCGCCGCCGUAACAC